rfam:Salmo salar isolate Sally breed double haploid chromosome ssa13, whole genome shotgun sequence.
UCCAUUCACUACUGUAAGUCGCUCUGGAUAAGAGCUUCUGCUAAAUGUAAAGAA